rnacentral:lncRNA from 1 species
UUAAGGCUUUCUAGUCCUUACUUAACUUAUAAAUAAAUAAUAGAAUUCCAUAUAAAAAAAGAAUCCUCAGUUUGUCUCAACUUUUAAAAAUGACAUCCAAAAACAAUACAAUUCUUAUACAAAGUAAAACUGUGGUAAAAGCUAUAAUAUAAAAAUAUUAAAACAUGCAUGUACAAAUUAUUUUUUGAGAAUUACUCAACUUAUUUACUGGGUAAUUAAAACAAACUAAAUAUCUUGAUCGGUGCAAAAAUGAUUAGAUUACCAAUGAAAUAGCAGAGGUGGGAAAAAUUUGGUUGAUUAUUUAGGAAAUCACUGAAGUACCACUGGAGGAGGCCCCUCUAACAAUCGGUGAGCACCCCCCUUUUUUUUCCCUUUAUGAAAAUUUCUGGAUCCCAGUGAACAGAUUACAUUUCAUUCAUUCACAUUUUUAACCUCAAGCUGUUUUAAACUAUAUAGUUUCUUUACUCCUUCCAAAUUUCUAAGCUAUUUGUUUUUAAAAUUAAGUAGUAUAUUUUUAUAUUUAUUUAUGGAACCCAGGAAGGGAGAUAACUAGUGUUCAGUUUAUUAUUUUGUCUGAUUUAUGCAUUAGGCCGGAAUGUGGUAUAGUGAUUCAGUGUAUGAUAUGUUUGCUCAUCCAUCUACAACUUUAACCCACAAUUAUCAAGAUUAAAUGGGACUUUCCCGAUACUUUCAAAUAAUCUUCAGUCUCUGCCGACAUUGUGUACUAUUUUUUAUAACUUCUAAAGGUUCUCUAAUCAAAGAAUGGAUUUUUUCUUUUCUUAUAUCUUAUUACUCAUAUUGAAGGAUAGGUUAG